GUGCUUGCUUCAGCAGCAUAUAUACUAAAAUCGGAACAGUACAAAGAAGAUUAGUGUGGCCCCUGAUCGAAGAGGGCAUGCAAAUUCGUGAAGUGUUGCAUAAAAAA